rnacentral:lncRNA from 1 species
UGUUGCCACCAAUCUUCUUAAAGACCUCAAACAGAGUUUAGAUUGGAGAAAGGAUUCCUCAUAGCACUAAAAUACCUCCCUGAAAUGUCUGAUCUAAGCCACAACCCUCUCAGACCGUCCGAUCACACAACACCCCCAAGAAAUGCCUGUGAAAUGCCUUCAAUCCAUCGUGGACCAUGAGAGACAUGAGGGAAAUGGGCUA